AGCUCUGCCAGGCAUAGACCUGCUGGGACAGUGUACACUUCCCUGCUUCUGAACUCUGACUCCCAGAACAUAGGCAUGGGAAGCAUGGACUUGCUCUGCAGUGCAUCUCUGCUUCCAGAAUGCUCCCCCUGGGCUAGGAACAGCUGAUUAAUUCUUUAAACAACAAAACAACCUCCAAGAUAAUGAAACAAAAGCUCCUAAGAGGGGUUUUUAGCCACCAAUUUGAUUGUAUGGACUUCAUGAUGGAUUUCACUGGAUUACUUCUAAAGGUCCAACACAAGUACCAAUGGCACAAGCUGCAUGCUGUUACCAUCAGAUUCAGCUGAAGCACUUGCCUUCCACUGACACCAGAGGCAGCAGUUCUGGAGCUGAUCCGGGCACCAAGUGGCACCCAUGAGGGAAGACCCAGGCAAAAUUUGGCUUUCACUUGCAUCUGCGUAAAUCUGGAAUAAUUCUACAAAAAUCAGUGGAAAUAUUUUCUAUUUACAAGUGUGCCUAAAAGCAAAAUUUGGCACCGUCUCCAACUAAGCAUUUAUAAGCUGUUUCUGGCAACAAAUAAGGAUGGGGGAGGGGAAGAUUAUUCAUUGCAGAUGCUUUGUAAGAUUACCAGAGGCUUUCGGGUGACAAUAAAGUCUACUAACAUA